GGGAUCUCCCAGCCGGGACUUGGGGUGUAUGAAUGGAUUCAGGUACAGAUAUUGUGGCCUUUUGGGCUUGCCCCUUGCAUGGGUGUUGAAGCUGUGGGAUGCAGCUAACGUCCGGCAUCUUCAGAUGAAGAAUCUGAGGCCCAGUGAAGGAAACAAAUAUU